AUGGGCAGAGCCCCACGCCCUGCCCGGGCAGCCCAGGAGCUCUGGGGGGCACCAGGAGAACGUGGGACCCCGCGUUGUUCCCGCCUGGCACGGGCUCAUCCCGGCCUGGGGAAGUGCAGCCCCGUGGCCAGGCUCCCAUGGAACCUCAUCCAUGGAAUCCAUCCCAUGGAACCUCAUCCAUGGAACCUCAUCCAUGGAACCUCAUCCAUGGAACCUCAUCCAUGGAACCACAUCCCAUGGAACCUCAUCCAUGGAACCUCAUCCAUGGAAUCACAUCCCAUGGAACCUCAUCCAUGGAACCUCAUCCAUGGCAUCACAUCCCAUGGAAUCACAUCCAUGGAACCUCAUCCAUGGAACCUCAUCCAUGGAACUUUAUCCAUGGAAACUCAUCCAUGGAACCACAUCCAUGGAACCACAUCCAUGGAACCUCAUCCAUGGAAUCACAUCCAUGGAACCACAUCCACAGAACCUCAUCCAUGGAACCUCAUCCAUGGACCUCAUCCAUGGAACCACAUCCAUGGAACCACAUCCAUAGAACCUCAUCCAUGGAACCACAUCCAUAGAACCUCAUCCAUGGAAUCACAUCCAUGGAAUCACAUCCAUGGAAUCACAUCCCAUGGAAUCACAUCCCCUGGAAUCACAUCCAUGGAAUCACAUCCAUGGAACCUCAUCCAUGGAAUCACAUCCAUGGAAUCACAUCCAUGGAAUCACAUCCCAUGGAACCUCAUCCAUGGAACAACAUCCAUGGAAUCACAUCCAUGGAACCUCAUCCAUGGAAUCACAUCCAUGGAAUCACAUCCCCUGGAACCACAUCCAUGGAAUCACAUCCAUGGAAUCACAUCCAUGGAACCUCAUCCAUGGAAUAACAUCCAUGGAACCACAUCCAUGGAACCACAUCCAUGGAAUCACAUCCAUGGAAUCACAUCCAUGGAACCUCAUCCAUGGAAUCACAUCCCAUGGAAUCACAUCCAUGGAACCUCAUCCAUGGAACCUCAUCCACAGAAUCACAUCCAUGGAACCUCAUCCAUGGAACCUCAUCCAUGGAAUCACAUCCAUGGC
rnacentral:lncRNA from 1 species